CCCUUAGAUGUUCUGGGCCGCACGCGUGCUACACUGAGUGGAUCAGCGGGUCAGGUUGCGCGAAAGUGUUUCCUAAUCUUGAAAUCCGCUCGUGAUGGGGAUUGACGGUUGCAAUUUUCCGUCAUGAACGAGGAAUACCUUGUAAGCGCGGGUCAUCAUCCCGCGCUGAAUACGUCCCUGCCCUUUGUACACACCGCCCGUCGCUCCUACCGAUUGAGUGGUCCGGUGAGGCUUUGGGAUCUGAGCGGAAAGAGCGUUUCGCUGUUUCUGCCCGGAAAACUCAGUCGAACCUUAUCAUUUAGAGGAAGGAGAAGUCGUAACA
rnacentral:rRNA from 1 species